rnacentral:lncRNA from 1 species
UAGAGCUAUGUUACAUUGAAUGGCAAAAGUGACUUUGUAGAGCAGACAGUUGGCUUAGCAACUCUGAGUGGUGGGCUCAACAGAAGAACAAGCUGAUAGAAGUCCUUGGGCUCUGAGGCUCCAUUCUAAUCAAAGUACUUCUCCAACCAGAGGACUUCCAUUGAUCAAUAGCCACUCAGAUGUUCUGUGUUUGCCAUGAGUAUCGGACUUCAGUCUUCUGGAAAGAUGGCUGUGGUGCCUAAACACAUCUGUGCCUGGCCUCACCCGCGGGACUUCGGACAUUUCACUUAAUGCUGAAAAUUCACUCUACUGCCACUACUCAGGACUUCUGAUGGGCAUGAAAAUCCAAGCCUGCUUUAUGAUAUUAACCUCUGAAUUUCAUAAACCGCUUAAAACUUUAGAAUGUCCAGAAAAUAGAUGACUUGCCCAAGAUACUAUAACUAGUGAAUUACUGAAGUUAGACUUAAACUAAACUGUUUUAUGAAAACACUGGUAGAAUACGGACACAUGAGACAAGGCCAGAAAGGAAGUCAAUAAAAUGUGAUUACUAAGCAAAUUACCACCAGAGAAGCAGAAGGAAAUCCCUCUUCAAUAUUUUGAGAGACAGUAAAGAACAUUCCCUGGAGUUAGGACAAAUGAAGAGCAAGAAGUUUCAUCUUGCUCUGUCAUCCAGGCUGGAGUGCAGGGGCACCAUCUCGGCUCACUGAAACCUCCACUUCCCGGGUUCAAGCGAUUCUCCUGCCUCAGCCUCCUGAGUAACUGGGGUUACAGAGUGAAUAGACAACCUACAGAAUGGGAGAAAAUACUUGCAAGCUAUGUAUCCAACAAAGGACUAAUAUCGAGAAUUUACAAGGAACUCAAACAAAACUCAACAAGAGUAAAACAACCCCAAUAAAAAGGAAAGUGAACACAUUUGGAAAUAUUGGCUCAGCAUUGCAGCUAUACCCUUUAGACAGGAAACACACUUUCCAGUUCUCCUUGACAGAGAGGCUGAAGGUCAACUGAUGGUCCAGAAUAUUGCUGGAGCUCCAGCCAUCAUUUCUGAAUGCCAAGAAACAGAAAUGGGGAAAAGCUUGACUGCAAAAGGAUCCUCUUAUCAGCUAAGCCAGCUUACUUUCCACAGAUGUCUUGGAAAUCUUUCACAACACUUUUAUUUUUGUCUCAGUGACCAGCUCUUGCCAUGUGGUCACACCUGGAUGAAGGACAAAGAAGUACAGCCUUUUGGCUAGGCACAUUUCUGCUCUGAAUAAAAUUUGGACUAAAGAAGAGAAAGCAA